rnacentral:rRNA from 1 species
ACUCCUACGGGAGGCAGCAGUGGGGAAUAUUGCACAAUGGGCGCAAGCCUGAUGCAGCCAUGCCGCGUGUAUGAAGAAGGCCUUCGGGUUGUAAAGUACUUUCAGCGGGGAGGAAGGCAAUACGGUUAAUAACCGUGUUGAUUGACGUUACCCGCAGAAGAAGCACCGGCUAACUCCGUGCCAGCAGCCGCGGUAAUACGGAGGGUGCAAGCGUUAAUCGGAAUUACUGGGCGUAAAGCGCACGCAGGCGGUCUAUCAAGUCGGAUGUGAAAUCCCCGGGCUCAACCUGGGAACUGCAUUCGAAACUGGCAGGCUUGAGUCUUGUAGAGGGGGGUAGAAUUCCAGGUGUAGCGGUGAAAUGCGUAGAGAUCUGGAGGAAUACCGGUGGCGAAGGCGGCCCCCUGGACAAAGACUGACGCUCAGGUGCGAAAGCGUGGGGAGCAAACAGGAUUAGAAACCCCGGUAGUCCC